rnacentral:rRNA from 1 species
CCUACGGGAGGCAGCAGUGAGGAAUAUUGGUCAAUGGGCGCAAGCCUGAACCAGCCAAGUAGCGUGCAGGAUGACGGCCCUACGGGUUGUAAACUUCUUUUAUACAGGGAUAAAGUGAGGCACGUGUGCCUGUUUGUAUGUACUUUAUGAAUAAGGAUCGGCUAACUCCGUGCCAGCAGCCGCGGUAAUACGGAGGAUCCGAGCGUUAUCCGGAUUUAUUGGGUUUAAAGGGAGCGUAGGUGGGGUGUUAAGUCAGUUGUGAAAGUUUGCGGCUCAACCGUAAAAUUGCAAUUGAUACUGGCAGUCUUGAGUACAGUUGAGGUAGGCGGAAUACGUGGUGUAGCGGUGAAAUGCUUAGAGAUCACGAAGAACUCCGAUUGCGAAGGCAGCUUACUAAGCUGCCACUGACAUUGAGGCUCGAAAGUGUGGGUAUCAAACAGGAUUAGAUACCCCGGUAGUC